CGUAACUUCGGGAAAAGGAUUGG
rnacentral:siRNA from 1 species